rnacentral:rRNA from 1 species
CCUACGGGUGGCAGCAGUGAGGAAUAUUGGUCAAUGGACGAGAGUCUGAACCAGCCAAGUCGCGUGAAGGAUGACUGCUCUAUGGGUUGUAAACUUCUUUUAUAUGGGAAUAAAAUGUUCCACGUGUGGGAUGUUGUAUGUAUCAUAUGAAUAAGGAUCGGCUAACUCCGUGCCAGCAGCCGCGGUAAUACGGAGGGUGCGAGCGUUAAUCGGAAUUACUGGGGGGAAAGCGCUCGUAGGCGGUAUGUAAAGUCAAGGGUGAAAUCCCCGGGCUCAACGUGGGAACUGCCUUUGAAACUGUCAAACUAGAGUAUGGGAGAGGUAAGUGGAAUUCCAGGUGUAGGGGUAAAAUCCGUAGAGAUCUGGAGGAACAUCAAUGGUGAAGGCGACUAUCUAGCACAUAACUGACGCUGAGGAGCGAAAGCGUGGGUAGCAAACAGGAUUAGAUACCCGUGUAGUC